AGUUGAUUACAUUUUCUUCAAAAAGCCUAAAAAUAUUAGGUUUCAUUUGUUGUAUUACACUUUCCUUUCCUACUAUCUAUAGUCUUACAGUUUUGUAUAGUGCUCUAGUUUGAUCGAAAUUUGAAUACACUUCUAUCACCUGGAACACCAUCAAUUGACUGAUUCAUCUAAACUUAAGGAAUUCAAAGAGAAUUUGCAGUCUUAUGUUCUGGCAGAUUUCUUAUCGGCACUUGUGAUAAUAGGUGUGAUGACAUAUCAAUUAAAUACAAAUUUCCAACGCCCAAGUCCAGGCAGCAAUUCCUUUAUGCUUCAUUUCUCAUUAGUGUCUUUAAGAAACAAACUUGGUCACUCAUCCAUUUUUUGAUACUAUUAGUUUAAUGCGUACCUACUAGGUCAGAGACUUCAGCUUUCAAUGUUUGCCAGUGUGAAGAGGCUAGUCCCUCAGCCAUAUGUGUUUCUGUAGCUGAUGUCUGCAGAUACAUUGAUAUUAUUAACAGAGGGUUCUCUUCUUUCACUGAUAUUACUAACUUUGUUCUUCUUCAGAUCCCUAUUUUCAAUGUUUAUGUUUUUAGUUCUUAAUAUUGUGUUCCUUUGUAUUUUCUUCUCUCCUUUGUCUCUUCGUGUCUUCUGCAUGAAUAUAGCUUUCUCUUUUCAGUGGCUAUAUAUAAUUUUCAUUUGCCUGUUCUCAAGCAUUUUAAUAAAUGAGUUGGUAUAUAUAAAUCCUCUAAAAGGGAGCUGACAGUGGAAGGAUCAUUUCAGUCCCAAGUCAUCAACAGUUUUUGAUUUAAAAGGAAAUAAAUGAAUGAAGUGUCCCUGUGUUAAAAUUUACUGAACACUGUGUGUUAAGAACUACUUAGGACUGCUUUAUAUAAAUGUUACAUUUUUUUAGGUCUCAGCUUUCAAGACUUGUCUGCCUGGUUACCCAGAAGCCCCUUCAGCUAUUAAAAUAUCAAAGUCAACUAAAGGCGCACAUUUCUCAUGGGAGCCACCACCAAGCACACCUGGAGAGAUAAUUGAGUAUUCAGUGUAUCUUGCAGUGCACAGACACUUCCCAGGCUCAGGGUGAUACAAAAACAGUGUCUACAACACCAACACAGCUGGCUUUUGUUCGUGUAUACUAUGGUCCAACUAACCAGUGAACUGUGCCAAACUCAUCACUCUCAGCAGCGCAUAUUGACGUAACAACAAAGCCAGCAAUCAUCUUCAGAAUUGCUGCUAGAAAUGAAAAAGGAUAUGGUCCUGCUACCCAAGUAAGGUGGCUCCAAGAUCCAUCUACUCAAGUCAAGAUGCCAGUGGGUAUGAAACGUCCAGGUUUAGAUAGCAAACCGAUGUCUCCUGCGAAAAGGAUGAAAAAUGAAGAUUCUAUGUCUUGAAGUGAUUGAGUGUGUAUGAAAUAAAAUAUUUUAAAAUAAUUUUAUUUGCAAAACAUCUGGUUUCUAAUUGAAGCUAAGUGUGUGUGUGUGCAUGUUAUGUCAUGUUGACAGACAUCUUGGUAGUGACUGAUCUGCAUUGAGCAUUUUGUUCAUCUAAUCAAACAUUUUAAUGAACUCAUUUUUGCAGUCUUUUCUUUUUACCAAGAUUCAGAUUCAUUCGGUUUUAAAUUACAGCUAGCCAAUACUGCUGCAGUAUACUCUUUUGUUUCAUGAAAGUCAAGAAUCUUUAGUUAAUUUUCUGCAGCUUUUUUCUACCCUAAUAUUUUUUUCAUUGAAGUUAUGUAAGCCAUAUUUGUUAGUUUCAAAUAUAUACCAUUAAUUUC